rnacentral:rRNA from 1 species
AUUGAACGCUGGCGGCAGGCCUAACACAUGCAAGUCGAGCGGAGCGGCGGACGGGUGAGGAAUGCCUAGGAAUCUGCCUGAUACCGGGGGAUAACGUUCGGAAACGGGCGCUAAUACCGCAUACUAUCAGACGAGCCUAGGUCGGAGUGGCUAGUUGGUGGGUUAUAGGCCUACCAAGGCGACGCUCCGUAACUGGUCUGAGAGGAUGAUCAGUAACACUGGAACUGAGACACGGUCCAGACGCCUACGGGAGGCAGUAGUGGGUAAUAUUGGACAAUGGGCGAAAGCCUGAUCCAGCCAUGCCGCGUGUGUGAAGAAGGUCUUCGGAUUGUAAAGCACUUUAAGUUGGGAGGCGUUACCAACAGAAUAAGCACCGGCUAACUUCGUGCCAGCAGCCGCGGUAAUUC